rnacentral:lncRNA from 1 species
UUAAGCCUGUUCUGCCAGCUAUCUGAACUCCUUUGGGGAGGGGCUCAUCUCUCCCUGCCUAGGGGUCACUAUCCCUACAGGGCUCUAGGCUUUUCUAUUACAUGGAGACUCAGGUUAUGGAACCCCAAGACAUGAGCUCACUUCCUUGGCAACAUCUCCAAACAGAACUUGGAACCCUUGUCAAUGGGUGUGACGAUCUAGUAACAGCCGUGUUCCAAGCUCACUUGGCUGGAGACGGUCAACAGAGAACAUGCUGAGCUGCUUCUCCACUUCAAGAGGCCGCAGCCUCAGGACCCCAGGGAGAGAAAGUCUCUGUGAAAGACUGAGAAGAUGGCUGACUCCAUCCAGACACCGCAGGCCAUGCUGCAGCAGCCACCUGACUGUCACAGACACCCCAGGGACGGUCUCCCCAGGAGUGACCACCAGUGACCUACCAAAAUCAAGUUAACUGAGACUGCAUGUUCCGGUUGCUGAUGACCUCCAACAGGUAGUGUGUUUACCUUGCUUACUUUUAGUCUUUCGUCUCAUUAACUUCGCGAUGACCACCCCUUGCUUUAGGUCUCUCCUUUCCUAAACUUCCCAUUCUUUCCUUCCUAGACCUCAUGCUGUCCAUCUCAUGGAUCUCAGUCAGUGCCUUUAACUCUACCACAGUUUCUCCCCUUUCCUCCCACUUUCUCAGCACUUGGCAUCACAUCUACCUGUCUGCCACCUGUGCAUGACCAUGUCCUUCUUCCCUGGACUCUCCUGCAAGUCUCCACAUUACCAGUGUCCUCUGUGGCAUCCACUCAUGACAGAUAUCCAGAAAGUAUUUUUGGAUGACAGCAAGAAUAGCUUCUGAGACAUCUUUUAUACUCCUGGGGGGUAGGUCUCACAGAUGAGUUAUAUUGCAUUUGUUCUGGUAAUGUUUGAAAAUGAACAAACUCUCUGUUAUGUGUUUUAAAUAAAAGAACUUCGUGGGGAAGCAAAGAAGAUGCUUUUGUCCUGUCACUGUUCCAACAGCUCCUU